rnacentral:rRNA from 1 species
AUUGAACGCUGGCGGAAUGCUUUACACAUGCAAGUCGAACGGCAGCACGGACUUCGGUCUGGUGGCGAGUGGCGAACGGGUGAGUAAUAUAUCGGAACGUAUCCAAUAAUGGGGAUAACUAAUCGAAAGGUUGGCUAAUACCGCAUACGCCUACGGGGAAAGCUAGGGACCUUCGGGCCUGGCGUUAAUGGAGCGGCUGAUAUCUGAUUAGCUAGUUGGUGAGGUAAAGGCUCACCAAGGCGACGAUCAGUAGCUGGUCUGAGAGGACGACCAGCCACACUGGAACUGAGACACGGUCCAGACUCCUACGGGAGGCAGCAGUGGGGAAUUUUGGACAAUGGGCGCAAGCCUGAUCCAGCCAUUCCGCGUGAGUGAAGAAGGCC